GACGAACGCUGGCGGCGUGCUUCAUACAUGCAAGUCGAACGAGAAGCUGACUUCGGUCAGUGGAAAGUGGCGGACGGGUGAGUAAUAUGUAGGAAAUCUGCCUUCAGGAGGGGGACAACAGAGGUAAACUUCUGCUAAUACCCCAUAUGAGCGUAGCUGAAAUGCUUUUUUUGAAAACUCCGGUGCCUAAAGAUGAGCCUGCAUCUGAUUAGCUAGUUGGUAGUGUAAUGGACUACCAAGGCGACGAUCAGUAGCUGGAUUGAGAGGAUGAUCAGCCACAAUGGGACUGAGACACGGCCCAUACUCCGGCGGGAGGCAGCAGUAGGGAAGUUUGAGCAAUGGGCGAAAGCCUGACGAAGCAACGCCGCGUGAACGAUUAAGCCCUUCGGGGUGUAAAGUUCUGUCAGUGGGGACGAAACUUGACGGUACCCACAGAGGAAGCACCGGCUAACUCCGUG
rnacentral:rRNA from 1 species